GAGCAUGAAUGGGGGAGGGUCAGAGAGAGGGAGACACAGAAUCCAAAACAGGCUCCAGGCUCUGAGCUGUCAGCACAGAGCCCGACGCGGGGCUCGAACUCACGGACCGCGAGAUCAUGACCUGAGCUGAAGUCGGCCGCCCAACCGACUAAGCCACCCAGGCGCCCCAAAAUUUUAGAAUCUUUGAGCACUGUGUUUUUUUGAACUUUUAUCGAAGUAAGCCCUACAUGCAAAAAGACCACCGGUGCGUGUGGACAGGUGAACGUACCCGUGUAUGCGGUGCCCGGAUGAAGGAAAUCGAAACCCCAUCCUCACGCGCACCCCCGCCCCCAUCGCGCUUGCGCUCUAGUCCAGUCUGCCCCACCAGGGAAAAGAGUUCCGCCCGUUCAUGAACUUCAUGUGAGCGCACUUACGUAGCUCACAGUCUUUUGUGGUCGCUUCUUUUGCUCAACCUGAGGUCUGUGAGAUUCAUUGUGUUGUGUGUCGUUAUAGAUCCCCUGUCCUCAAGGCUGGGCGAACCGUCAUUUUUUUUUCAUCGCUUCUGCUUUUAAUGAGCCUCUUUGGGCUUUUCUUCUUGAAACAGAAUUCCAGGCUUCACAGCCUCCCCGGCGUGUGUGUCUGUGUAUCUGCCCAGGCCUGUGGGGGAGGGAAGCGGGGAGGCCGGGAGAGGGUAUGUGCUGACCCGUCCUGGCCCCGAGGUGCGUGUGAUUUUAGGAGGCACCCGCCUGGCCCUCCUCCCGAGGCUCCUCCCUUUUGGAAUCUCUCAAAGUUCUGUUAUUCUCGGCUGGCUUGAGGCCUGAGGGGUGAGCUGGCAGGCAUCCAAGAUAAGAAAGUGGAGACACGGAGAGGCCGAGAACCUGCCCGAAACCACACCGUGACAUCUGUGGCAGAGUCAGGCUUUGAUGCUGCGUCCGUCUGACUCCAGAGCCCAGGCCUCCGACCCCAGGGCUAUGAGCUGCCGUGGCGCGGUGCACAGCAUUGGACUGUAAGGACCCAGGCUCAUGCCUCCCCUGGUUUGGGGAGCCGGAUCUCAGGAUCAUCUGCUUUGUCUGUUAAAUGGGCCUACACGAACAGCAGGGCCUUCCUCCUUCCUGGGUUCGUGGCUAGUGAGCUCUCAGGGGUGGGACAGGCACGGGGGCCUGGUCGGGAGAGGCCUCCGAAUCUGUGCAGCACCGGCCGGCUUUGCCGAGGCACCUUGCCUUUGCUUUUCAGGAGGGAGGCCCAGUCGACAGUCCCGAGUCCACUCGGUGGCCCCCUUGUAGGGAGCGUGCCCUGACUCUGCUCUUGGGGUGCUCCAGAACUUGGGCCGGGCACUCGAACGGCUGUUCCUAACCCGGGCUGCUGAGUAUUGCAAAAGCUACCUAUGAUACACCCCGGGGAACCAGAGGUUGAGGCCAUUGGCCACAGUCCAGGAGGACUUCACAGAGGAGGCCUCCUUGGAGCAGGGUUCUGUAGGCUGAUUAAGAGUUCCUUAGGCAGAGAUGAUGGUAAAGCUCUUCUUAGCAGAGGGAACAGCGGAUAGGCAUCAGCGGCUCCACUCCAUCCCCACCCCCCACCCCCCCACUCCCUUGCUUGGCCAUCUGUUAUCCGGUGGGGGCUGGAAGCCUGAACGUGAUAUUUUCCAGAGCCCCUUGCCAGCAAGUUUCUGGAUGGGAUCUGCCAGCGGGGAGAAGGCAGGACGAUGAGAGAUGCCAGCCUGCCUCUACCUCCCGCCACGGCCAGGCCGACUUGAGCGGACUUCACAGACUCCCAUCAGUUCUCCUGGUUCCAGGGCCGCGGUGAGAGCGCCUCCAGAAAGUAGGUGGUGAGCGCCCGCUUGGCUUGGGGGCCUCGGACUGUUCUGGAUGGCAGCUGCCUUGUAACAGUCCGUCUCCCUUCUACUCUUCCUGCACUUCGGACGCCUUUGGAACCGAUUUCCCUCAUCCUCUCAGCCUGAAAUAGCCCAGCGGUUUUCUGUUUUCUAGCUGGUCACUAAUUGAUAAAAUGUUCAGGCCAUCUAAGCCGGAACAAGUUGUAGUUUUCAAGGGACAGAAGGAGUCAGUACCUAGAACGUGUGAUGUCAUGUUUUCGUUCCGAUUUCUCUUCUAGGCGCUUCCUGUGCGUUUCAACACGCGUCCCCUGGGGGCAGAGACCGUCGUCUAUCGCUUCUUCAAUCAACAAACAUUUAUUAGUGGCUGGUCAGUGGGGAAUGAGAUGGGUGACCAAGUUCCCGUACUUUCGGAAUCACAGUCUAGAAGCCACCUGUGGCUCUUGAGCACCUGAAGUGCAGCCAGUCCAAAUUGAGCUGGGCUGUCCGUGUAAAAUAGAAACCGCAUUUCAAAGACUUACUGUGCAAAUAAGAAGGUAAAAUACCUCACGAAUAUUUUCCAGAUUGAUUACAUGUUGGCAUAAUAUUUCAGACAUACUAGGUUAAAUAAAAUACACUAUUGAGACAUAUUUUACCUGAUUUCUUUUCACUCUUUUUAACGUGGCCACUAGAAAAAUUUACGUUACAUACAUGGCUUGCGUUUGUGGCCCACAUGAUAUUUCUCUUGGAAAUAAGCACUGGUCCUACGGGACCUGAGUUGAAAUACAUCGGUUUAUCAAUUCAGCAUUCACUGGAGUCCAUUUAAGAGAUUGACUUCACGGGCGCCUGGGUGGCUCGGUCGGUUAAGCGACUGACUUCAGCUCAGGGCAUGACAUCUCGUAGUUUGUGAGUUCGAGCCCCGCAUGGGGCUCUGUGCUUUAGAUUCUGUGUCUCCCUCUCUCUCUGCCCCUUUCCCACUCUCACUCUGUCUCUCUCUCAAAAAUAAACAUUAAAAAAGAGAGAGAGAGAGAGAGAGAUCCUUCAGAUAGGAUGGGGAGCGGGACAGAUAGACCAACAUGGAACCAAAAUUCACUGUGAUGAAUGUUUGAAUUGGUUCAUGUUCCAGGGUUCUGGGAGGCUGAGAAGAAAUCUAAGAAGGCUUCAUAGAAGAAGUGACUUUGGUGUUGAGCACUGUAGGAUGAGUAGGAGUUUGCCAGAUGGCUAAGGAAGAAGAAGGGCACCCCAGGCUCAGGGAAUACCCAUGCCAAAGCUAAGAGGUGCACAGGGUCUUUUGAGGGCUUUGGGAAGUUUAUCGUGACCCAAACAUGAUUUGUUGGGAGAAGAAGCUAGAGACAGAGCCAAACUGGGUAGAACGUCGAAUGCCUGUCAAGUUUAGACCUGGGGGAGGGGCCAAGACCGAGGAAAGUUUCCUAGGCAGGAGGUGGCUGGUCGCAAUGCGAGUGACUUCACCUACCUCCCCUCCUCAAAAGUGUAAAAGAACCAGACCAGACCUUGUUUGAAUGUGCAAAGUAAACUAUUUUAUUUCAGUGCUCAGUCUUUGUGGCUCAAAAGCGUAUCUACUGCCUGCCUGGAACCCUAAAGUGUUUAUAAAACCAAAGAGAAUUAGAGGCACAUUUGUGAGAACAUAGAUAUGUCGGCUCAUUUUGUGUUUCUUUCCUAUGCAAAGCAGAAAGUUCCGUGUGCAACAGCAUGACUUUCUCCAAGUCCCUCGCUGGGCUUUUCCGGGGCCCUGGAGGCUGUGACCGCGCCCCAGAUAGAGAAUUCUCCCUCGUUCCUCUUCCUGCCCAGUCACGUGGAGAGAGCGGGGGAUAAAGUCAGAGAUGACAGCUCAGGGGCUCUUGGAGCUUCCUCAGGGCAGGGGCUGUACUCCUGGGCCCUAGCCC